rnacentral:rRNA from 1 species
CCUACGGGAGGCUGCAGUGAGGAAUAUUGGUCAAUGGGCGAGAGCCUGAACCAGCCAAGUCGCGUGAAGGAUGACGGCCCUAUGGGUUGUAAACUUCUUUUGUCAGGGAGCAAUUUGGUCCACGCGUGGGCUUAGCGAGAUUACCUGAAGAAAAAGCAUCGGCUAACUCCGUGCCAGCAGCCGCGGUAAUACGGAGGAUGCGAGGGUUUUCCGGAUUUUUUGGGUUUAAGGGGUGCGAAGGCGGUUUUUAAGGUCAGCGGUAAAAUCUCGGGGCCAAACCCCGGCCCGCCGUUGAAACUGGCAGUCUCGAGUUGGAGAGAAGUAUGCGGAAUGCGCGGUGUAGCGGUGAAAUGCAUAGAUAUCGCGCAGAACUCCGAUUGCGAAGGCAGCAUGCCGGCUCCACACUGACGCUGAGGCACGAAAGCGUGGGUAUCGAACAGGAUUAGAUACCCUGGUAGUC